rnacentral:rRNA from 1 species
CCCGCUCAAGAACUACAAAGGAAUUGGACGGGGGCCCCGCACAAGCGGUGGAGUAUGUGGUUUAAUUCGAUGCAACGCGAAGAACCUUACCUGGUCUUGACAUCCCGGAGACCCUUAGGAAACUAGGGGGUGCUUCCAUCUGGAAGAAUCUGGAGACAGGUGCUGCAUGGCUGUCGUCAGCUCGUGUCGUGAGAUGUUGGGUUAAGUCCCGCAACGAGCGCAACCCUUGCCUUUAGUUGCCAUCAGGUAAUGCUGGGGACUCUAAAGGAACUGCCUACGCAAGUAGUGAGGAAGGCGGGGAUGACGUCAAAUCAGCACGGCCCUUACGUCCAGGGCUACACACGUGCUACAAUGGCCGAUACAGAGGGCAGCUACCUGGUGACAGGAUGCAAAUCUCCAAAGUCGGUCUCAGUUCGGAUCGGAGUCUGCAACCCAACUCCGUGAAGUUGGAUUCGCUAGUAAUCGCGCAUCAGCCAUGGCGCGGUGAAUACGUUCCCGGGCCUU